rnacentral:rRNA from 1 species
UACGGAGGGUACAAGCGUUGUUCGGAAUUACUGGGCGUAAAGCGCACGUAGGCGGGUUCGUAAGUCGAUUGUGAAAGCCCCGGGCUCAAUCCGGGAAUUGCAGUCGAAACUACGAGUCUUGAAUACUCUAGAGGGUGACGGAAUUCCUGGUGUAGAAGUGAGAUUCGUAGAUAUCAGGAGGAACACCGGAGGCGAAGGCGGUUGCCUGGAGAUGUAUUGACGCUGAGGUGCGAAAGCGUGGGGAGCAAACAGG